UGAGUAGCACAGAUGAUCGCGGAGACAGGAGCCGAAAGGCUGUCAACGAGGAAAGUCCGGGCUUCAUAGGGCAGGAUGCCGGAUAACGUCCGGUGGAGGCGACUCCAAGGAAAGUGCAACAGAAAUGUACCGCCAAUAUUUAUGUGGGAUUAUUUUCUGCAUGAAUACUGGUAAGGGUGGAAGGGCAGUUUAAGAGACUACCGCGCUUCUGGUAACAGAGGCGGCAUAUGUAAACCCCAUUCGAAGAAAGACCGAACAAAAGCGAUACGGCUGCCCGUCGUGCUUUAGGUGGGUCGAUUGAGCCUGUUGGCAACAGCAGGACUAGAUAGAUGAUCAUCAGAUACAUAACCCGGCUUAUAGUGCUGCUCAAUAU
rnacentral:RNase_P_RNA from 1 species